AAACAAAUGAUGAAGAAGACGAUGACGAGGAAGAAGUUGGUGAAGAGGGAAUGGUUGAUAUUGAUACUGAAGAU
ensembl:snoRNA snoRNA:Me28S-G2596